rnacentral:tRNA from 1 species
UCCCUGGAGGACUAGUGGUUAGGCCACUGCACUCUCACCGCUGCUGCCUGGGUUCAAUUCCUGGCCAGGGAA